AGUGUUGCACCGACAUUGUAAUUCUGGCCGAUACCAAUACGUUGAUGAUGUUCAUGUUGGUCUAAAACUUUAAAAGCAUCUGUUUAACACAACAUUUCAUCUGAAUAUCAUUUGAAAUGUAUUUUUUAGAUAUCAGAUGUAAAACCAGUUUUAAGCUCUAGAUACAGGUUUGAGUUACAUCUGAGUUUCUGAUCAGUAUAUAACUGAUUUCUUCCAGGUGUUCAGAAGAUGCCCAUCGAGAAAACCACUGACGUGCCUCAAGAGAAUGACAGUGAGGAAGAAAUUGAAAACCUUGUGGAAAGGACAAAAAGUGUGCUGGUCAAAUGCUGAAGUUACAGCUGCAAUUAAACAUGUUAAGGCACAUAUAACCAAAGGAAAACUGGCCACACUGACUGAAUGGCAGAAGUGUAAGACCACUGAAGACCCUUUCUGUAGAGUUUCAAUCUCUACCUCACUCUCAUUCUCAGCGCAGGAGAAUACAUGCUUUAGUAAGCUCUAAACACACGGGAGCUCAUGUACUUACAAUGAUAGUUAUAUUAACACUAGACGCUAGUCUAGAGCUGAUGUACAACCCAAGCAAACUUUGUUAAAUAAUUUUCCUGUAAAUCUGCUUUGAAACUUGACUUGACAAUUCUGUUUAUAUUUUCUGGAAAUAACAGAGGUAAACCGUCCGUUGUAAUUUGGUUUGUUUUGCAAAUGUAUAUAUCGCGAUAUGCAUAUCGCGACGGCUUGCAAUAGCUGGGGUCAUGAACAAAAGAAAAUCACUCACUGCUGUUUGCUGAAUAACUGUAUAUAUGUAAAUAAUACAGUGAAAACUAAGCAGUGUUUUAUUUUCACAUUUGAUUAUUCAGUUUCUGUUGUUAAAUAAUCCUAAUGUAGGAUAAUCUGAACCCUGUGCUUUAGCAUAAGAAGUGUUAUUUUAAUAUCAGUGUACAGUAAAACACUGAUGUUCACUUUCAGAAGCUGAUGUUUUCUUGUCACAAAAAGAAUGUGAAACAUGUAUGUAAGGUUAAAUAAUAGAUAAUUUAAGUUUGUUUUACACACUUUAAACAUUACUGUAUCGAAUAUCGCAUUAUUUAAUGAGUUAACGCAUAUCGCUUUUUCUUCAGUACUGUGCAGCACUAAGCAGCAUCUAUUGUAUGUUGAGUGAGUUAAUUUUAUACAUUUCAAAGCCUGUUUAAUGACAUCUUUAAAAUGUGUCUGCUUCAAAGGGCUGUUUUGUCAAUCAUUGACCAUGUUUUUAAGUUUGUGGAUGUGACUUUACACUUAAAAUGGCAUGACAUGAUGGAAUUACAUGGUAAAACUGAAAAAAAAAAACUCAAUGUUUAUGAUGAUAUUAUUGAAGUCAUAAUUAAAGCACUUGUAAAACA